rnacentral:rRNA from 1 species
AACGAACGCUGGCGGCAGGCUUAACACAUGCAAGUCGAGCGCCCCGCAAGGGGAGCGGCAGACGGGUGAGUAACGCGUGGGAAUCUACCCAUCUCUACGGAAUAACGCAUGGAAACGUGUGCUAAUACCGUAUACGUCCUUCGGGAGAAAGAUUUAUCGGAGAUGGAUGAGCCCGCGUUGGAUUAGCUAGUUGGUGGGGUAUAGGCCUACCAAGGCGACGAUCCAUAGCUGGUCUGAGAGGAUGAUCAGCCACACUGGGACUGAGACACGGCCCAGACUCCUACGGGAGGCAGCAGUGGGGAAUAUUGGACAAUGGGCGCAAGCCUGAUCCAGCCAUGCCGCGUGAGUGAUGAAGGCCCUAGGGUUGUAAAGCUCUUUCACCGGUGAAGAUAAUGACGGUAACCGGAGAGGAAGCCCCGGCUAACUUCGUGCCAGCAGCCGCCGUAACAC